GACCGUGUACCCGAGAGGUUCAGGGACUCGUCUGCAAAACGAGUUACGCCGGUUCGAUUCCGGUCACGGUCU
rnacentral:tRNA from 4 species